rnacentral:lncRNA from 1 species
ACCAGGCAGAGCGCGUGUGGCCGCCGAGCACAUGGACCCACUGGUCAAGCGGGCUCGGCAAGGCCAGGAUGAAGAGAAGCUACGAACUUAGCAUUCCCAGAGCCCCCCGAGUGGAUAUCCGCGUGGAAAGGAUGUUGGCAGCCCCGGUGACCUCGGAGUCACGGCUGGAUCCACCCUCUUGUCUGAUUUUCUUAACUCUACUACGGUAAGAAGAUGCCCUCCAUCAGCAGGCCGUGUCUGCUGGGACCUCUCUGGAGACUUCCUGAACCCUGUGGAUUUACAGUAAGAUGCAGUUUCCUGGGGAGUAAUUCUGGUGGAUACAAAUUCCGGAGUAUUACACCUGGCUUGCCUGGAGAUGUUACAAGUAGCUGGAUGGAUUCUUCAGCCUGGAUGCCCACUGAAAACAAGGACCGAAACUAAGAGGAUUGUAUCUCUACCCUUGACUCAAUGAGAAUGUUUGUUGUCAUCUCUCGGGCUACCUGGAGCUCCCUCUAAAAUUAUACCCUUUAAGCGUUCCAGAAGGAUUUUGAGAUCCUUUCCUAAAUCAAAGGUGGAAUAUUUGGGGAUUUGGAAAAUUGAGGCUUCAGAGAAAUCAGGAGCGGUGAAUGAUCGAAAUGGACCUUUGAGAUUACAGUGUGGAGCUGACAUUGCCAGUUAAGCCUGGGCAGAUCUGACUUAAUUGAUUUAGUUGUUGGAGCAGAGACAACCCAGAGGCUUGGAUCAGCCUCCCCAUCUGACAGUGUGCUGAUGUGAAGCGUUGACUUAAGAGAUGCCAAGUAACUCAGCAGAUGUCACACAGACGAUAAAUAGCAAAGAUGGAAGUCUUCAUGCCGGAGGCAAUCCUAUAAGACAGCUGAGUUCUGCAGAGCUGGUAGGAGACAGACUUGCUCAGGUGAUAGAUCCAGCCAUGAUACUGACCCUAAGAGAAUGAGACGCUCUGCAGAAGACAGAAGAUUCCUGAAACUGGGAAAGGUGCCUAGAAAUCCUGAUAAGAGUGAAGAAGGAGCUGGCAGAGCAGCCUUCCUCCGCACUAUGAAAGACAUCCAACAGAGAGCAAGUUCCCACCUCACUUCCAGCUUGACUCCUUUUUAUCUCCUAACUGUGGUCUGUGAUGUCUUCAGCAAUGGUAUUAACUAGUUCUGGGUACCUGGAGGCACAGCAGCCAUGUUGAACCUAUGAGGUGAUGAAAAACCAUGCAACUAGAAACCAGAAUGGAAGAAAAGAAGAAGCUGGAUCCUUGACUGAAUUGUCGAUGGGGGAUAGUCCAUCAUCCCAGGGCUAAGACCACCUCCAGAUUUCUUGUUUGGUGAAACAAGUCCUGAUUGUUUACAUUCCCUCGUGUUGAGCUGUCUCUUGCUUGUAGCUGAAAGCAUUUCUAAUAGAUAUUCAGAUUAUCAGCCUUAGCUCCAAGCUAGAAUACUCUAUGGGACCUUAGCUUCUCCAUGAAUUCCUUUGCUCAUCUGUGUAAUGCUCAAUAAAUGUAAAUUGAACCCUGAAUGAGGGACAAUGACAC